rnacentral:rRNA from 1 species
UAAUACGGAGGGAGCUAGCGUUGUUCGGAAUUACUGGGCGUAAAGCGCACGUAGGCGGUUUCUUAAGUCAGAGGUGAAAGCCCGGGGCUCAACCCCGGAAUUGCCUUUGAAACUGGGGAACUUGAAUCUUGGAGAGGUCAGUGGAAUUCCGAGUGUAGAGGUGAAAUUCGUAGAUAUUCGGAAGAACACCAGUGGCGAAGGCGACUGACUGGACAAGUAUUGACGCUGAGGUGCGAAAGCGUGGGGAGCAAACAGG